UACGAAGGGGGCUAGCGUUGCUCGGAAUCACUGGGCGUAAAGCGCACGUAGGCGGACUCUUAAGUCAGGGGUGAAAUCCUGGAGCUCAACUCCAGAACUGCCUUUGAUACUGGGAGUCUCGAGUUCGGGAGAGGUGAGUGGAACUGCGAGUGUAGAGGUGAAAUUCGUAGAUAUUCGCAAGAACACCAGUGGCGAAGGCGGACUCA
rnacentral:rRNA from 1 species